rnacentral:tRNA from 1 species
GCCGGCAUGGUGGAAUGGCAGACACGGCAGACUCAAAAUCUGCUGUCCGCAAGGAUGUGUGGGUUCAAGUCCCACUGCCGGCA